rnacentral:rRNA from 1 species
AGAGAGAGACAUGCGCGCAUAUCAAUAAGCGGAGGAAAAGAAACUAACUAGGAUUCCCUCAGUAACGGCGAGUGAAGCGGGAAGAGCUCAAAUUUGAAAUCUCCAAGGUUCUACCUUGACGAAUUGUAGUUUAAAGAAGUGUUUUCUGUUGGAGUUUUGGUAAAAGUUCUUUGGAAUAGGACAUCAUAGAGGGUGAGAAUCCCGUAUUUGACCAUUACUUUCACUUUGUGAUACACUUUCAAAGAGUCGGAUUGUUUGGGAAUGCAGUCCAAAAUGGGUGGUAAAUUUCAUCUAAAGCUAAAUAUUGGCGAGAGACCGAUAGCGAACAAGUACCGUGAGGGAAAGAUGAAAAGAACUUUGAAAAGAGAGUUAAACAGUACGUGAAAUUGUCAAAAGGGAAGCGUUUGACACCAGUGUUGUUUUCUCGAAAAUCAAUUAAAAAAGGCAGGAUUUUGUGUUGUAUUGACUUUAUCAGCUUUCUGCACUCUUUUCUUGUCUUUUUUAAUGCACUUUUCGUUUAACAAGUCAACAUCAAUUUCCUUUGUUGUAAAAGGGUCAUUGGAAGGUGGCUUUCUUUUCGGAGAAAGUGUUUAUAGCCUCUUGGCCUAUGCAGUCGGAGAGAUUGAGGUCUGCAACGUAGAUCCUUCGGGGCUAGAUACAUUUGUGCUAAGUUAUAGCAUUUUAUAGACAACUUGUUGACUAUGAUUAGUCAUUGUAGCUUACUCGCUUAUGCUAUUUUACCUACGCUUAGGAUGUUGAUGUGAUACUGCGAGCA